UAUGUGUAUAUAUAUAUGUAUAUCUAUAUAUGUAUAUGUGUUUGUGUAUGAAUAGGGAUUGGUGUAGGACACAUCUACUACUUCCUGGAGGAUGUAUUUCCUAACCAGCCCGGAGGCAGAAAGCUUCUUACCACUCCUGGAAUUUUUCGAGUUUUGUUUGACAUGCCUCAAGAAGAGCCGAAUUAUGCCCCUCUUCCAGAAGACCAGAGUGGGAUAUCCCGGAAUGGACAAGAUGUAGAAGAUAACGGCCAAGGUCAAAAUGAUGAUCUUCCAAGAGAAGAAAACUGAAGGUUUCAAUACCACAAAGACAGCAAUAAAUCUUGUCAUGCUUUUAAAGUCCUCCUUGCUUUAGUUGGGGAAGUUUAUGUCUGCAUGUCAAUUUUUGUAAGUCAGACUGUGUAAUAGAAGACACUCUUUGUGUACAAAAUAAAUGGAUCCAAAUUUUGCAUUCAGUGCCAUGCAUGUCACAAA